UUUACCAAAGGACUGAGGCUACUUUGCCUCGCUUCAUUCAACUGCUGGGAAAGAAGAAAGAAGGGGGUGAUGAGAAAGCUGCUGUGGCCGACGUUCGCAGCAGCAGGUGAUAAGAAUCCACGACUUGCAGAAGCCGAGUUUGUUUUAAAGCAGACUAGUGAGUGGUGGGUGCCUGUGUGUACCUGCUUCUGCUUUGUGGCUUUGCUCUUGUGACCAGAAGUGGGUGCACUAGGAAGCGUCUAGGCUGACUCAGAGUCCCAGACGUGCAGUGGAGCCUUGCCGGGGGAAAUGUCAGCUUGGACCAUGGGUGCCCGCGGUCUGGACAAGCGAGGAAGUUUCUUUAAGGGCCGCACCAGUGGCAUAUGGAUGUUGCUAUUCUAGGGGGUAGAAUCGGAGCUACGGAUCAGCCUCUACCACAGCUCACAGCAACGCCAGAUCGCCAACCCACUGAUUGAGGCUGGGGAUCGAACCCGUGUCCUCAUGGAUGCUAGUCGGAUUUGUUUCUCCUGUGCCCCAACUGGAACUCCUGUGCCCCCGAUUUGAACGAGUGAACAAGACAAUACAAAGAGCAUAGAAAUGGCUGCACUCUGGGCCUGGCUCCAUGUCCCAUCUGGGAAAAAGGUGUAACAUCCCCUUCCUGGUGGACGUCGGAGUUCAGACGUGGUACCUGGUGAUUUCACCCGCUCAGUCUCUGUAAGCCUUGGUAUUCCUGCCACUGUCUGAUAAGAUGUUCUGGUUUUUUUCUGUCUGCUUUCCCACUCCACGCCCAUGUUUUCUUUGCUCUCUCAAAAGCGGCUGCGUGCAGACACUGCGGAGGUCCUCAGAGCCAGGAACGACUCACGUGCCCAGAAGCCACACUGCCCACCAAACUGCCGACACCUGCCCACAGGUGCCUGGACAUUCUUUGAGCUAAGAUUCAGAGAUGUGGGCUCCUCUCCUCUCCAGGGAAAGUUGGGGGGAAGCGAACUCAAACUCUGUUGUUGGUCUACACUGCCUUUCGCCAGAGGAGCAGAAGAACAAACAGAAGCCACAUGUCCUGUGCCAAAUGCCUGGCCUGUUGACAGAUCUGCUGUCUUGGUGCCACUUCAUAGGCACAGCCCGCCUUCCUCCUUAUGUAGCCACUUCUUAAAAUGUAUGCUUAAUUUCACAAAUCCUCUUCCAGGCCUGUUCCGAGCACUUUAAAUCCAUUGAUUCGGUUAAGCCUCCCACUGUCAUUCUGCCCAUCUUACAAGGGAGGAAACCAGGACUUGGAGGGGGUUAGGAAACUUGCCCACAGUCGUACCAUUUGUCAGUUCUAUGGUGGUUCCGUGGUGAUUGUACUUCAACUUUGAGGAAAUUUCAUAGAGAUGGGACCUAGCACCUGCAGGGCCUUAAAUCAUCGGCCUCAGGGAAUUCCCAUUAUGAUUCAGUGUUAACAAACCCGACGAGUAUCCAUGAGGAUGCAGGUUCAACCCCUGGCCUCGCUUGGUGGGUUACGGAUCCGGCGUUGCUGUGAGCUGUGGCAUAGGUCACAGAUGUGGCUUGGAUCCUGCAUUGCUGUGGUUGUGGUGUAGGCCAGCAGCUAUAGCUCCAAUUAGACCCCCCUAGCCUGGGAACUUCCAUAUGCCGUGGGUGUGGCCC
rnacentral:lncRNA from 1 species